UAGGGAAUCUUCGGCAAUGGACGAAAGUCUGACCGAGCAACGCCGCGUGAGUGAAGAAGGUUUUCGGAUCGUAAAACUCUGUUGUUAGAGAAGAACAAGGACGUUAGUAACUGAACGUCCCCUGACGGUAUCUAACCAGAAAGCCACGGCUAACUACGUGCCAGCAGCCGCGGUAAUACGUAGGUGGCAAGCGUUGUCCGGAUUUAUUGGGCGUAAAGCGAGCGCAGGCGGUUUCUUAAGUCUGAUGUGAAAGCCCCCGGCUCAACCGGGGAGGGUCAUUGGAAACUUGGAGACUUGAGUGCAGGAGAGGAGAGUGGAAUUCCAUGUGUAGCGGUGAAAUGCGUAGAUAUAUGGAGGAACACCAGUGGCGAAGGCGGCUCUCUGGUCUGUAACUGACGCUGAGGCUCGAAAGCGUGGGGAGCAAACAGG
rnacentral:rRNA from 1 species